rnacentral:rRNA from 1 species
CAAACUGGUCAUACUAUCUCAUCAAUGUUUGAUCUUAUCUGAUCUCAGGAGCUAAUGAAGUUUGGGCCUUGUUAGUACUUGAAUGGGAGACAACUGGGAACACCAGGAGCCACAGUGG